rnacentral:rRNA from 1 species
CACCAGCGCCACAAGUGGCAAUCACGUUUAUUGGGCCUAAAGCGUCCGUAGUCGGUCUUGUAAAUCUCUUGUGAAAUCGUUGCGCUCAACGUAACGGCGUGCAGGGGACACUCCAAGACUUGGAACCGGGAGGAGUCAGAGGUAUUAUGGGGGGAGCGGUAAAAUGUUAUAAUCCCUGUAAGACCACCUGUGGCGAAGGCGUCUGACUAGAACGGGUUCGACGAUGAGGGACGAAAGCUAGGGGAGCAAACCG